rnacentral:tRNA from 1 species
GCCCCUGUAGCUCAGCUGGAUAGAGCAGCGGACUUCUAAUCCGCAGGUCGCAGGUUCGAAUCCUGCCGGGGGCG